AGUGAACGCUGGCGGUAGGCCUAACACAUGCAAGUCGAACGGCAGCACAGUAAGAGCUUGCUCUUACGGGUGGCGAGUGGCGGACGGGUGAGGAAUACAUCGGAAUCUACUUUUUCGUGGGGGAUAACGUAGGGAAACUUACGCUAAUACCGCAUACGACCUACGGGUGAAAGCAGGGGAUCUUCGGACCUUGCGCGAUUGAAUGAGCCGAUGUGGGAUUAGCUAGUUGGCGGGGGAAAGGCCCACCAAGGCGACGAUCCGUAGCUGGUCUGAGAGGAUGAUCAGCCAGACUGGAACUGAGACACGGUCCAGACUCCGACGGGAGGAAGCAGUGGGGAAUAUUGGACAAUGGGCGCAAGCCUGAUCCAGCCAUACCGCGUGAGUGAAGAAGGCCUUCGGGUUGUAAAGCCCUUUUGUUGGGAAAGAAAAGCAGCAGGUUAAUACCCCGCUGUUCUGACGGUACCCAAAGAAUAAGCACCGGCUAACUUCGUG
rnacentral:rRNA from 1 species